AUACGUAGGGGGCAAGCGUUAUCCGGAUUUACUGGGUGUAAAGGGAGCGUAGACGGAAGGCCAAGUCUGAUGUGAAAGCCCGCGGCUCAACUGCGGGACUGCAUUGGAAACUGGUCAUCUGGAGUGCAGGAGGGGUAAGCGGAAUUCCUAGUGUAGCGGUGAAAUGCGUAGAUAUUAGGAGGAACACCGGUGGCGAAGGCGGCUUACUGGACUGUAACUGACGUUGAGGCUCGAAAGCGUGGGGAGCAAACAGGAUUAGAUACCCUGGUAGUCCACGCUGUAAACGAUGAUUACUAGGUGUUGGGGACCAAAGGUCCUCGGUGCCGCCGCAAACGCAUUAAGUAAUCCACCUGGGGAGUACGUUCGCAAGAAUGAAACUCAAAGGAAUUGACGGGG
rnacentral:rRNA from 1 species